ACCACAUAUAACCUAAGUAUUAGUUGACUUAUAAAACUCAGAACUAAACUCGAAGCGCGUAUAUUUUUUAGAUAUUCUGCAUGUAUUUUGUUAUUUUAAGAAAAGCCCGUGUAUAUAUUCUGUGUAGUAAUAGGAUAUUCAUAUUCCAUUAAAAUGAAAAUUUUAUUUCAGGAUCAGAAACAGAAGAGAUUUCUUAUGUUGUCUUGUUGAAAAACUGGGAAAUCUCGCCAAGCCAUCUGACGUUGCAGGACAAAACACUUGGAGCUGGACAGUUCGGAAUUGUUAAACAAGGCUUAUAUACACCUUCUAAAGAUUGUGAGCCGGAAAUUGUUGCCGUAAAAAUGUUGAAAGGUA